rnacentral:lncRNA from 1 species
AGAAGCCCAUGCUGAAGGCAGGUAAUGCUUACCACAAGUUCAGAGUGAAGAGGAACUGCUGGCCUAAGGUGCGUGGUGUGGCUAUGAAUCCAGUUGAGCAUCCUCAUGGUGGUGGUAACCAUCAACAUAUUGGUCAUGCUAGCACAGUCAGGCGUGAUGCUCCUCCUGGCCAAAAGGUUGGUCUCAUUGCUGCUAGGAGAACUGGUCGUCUUAGAGGACAAGCAGC